GGGACUAUAGUUAAAAAUAACAUUUGAGUUGCAUUCAAAAAGUGCUGCACGGUAGCUAGCCUCA
rnacentral:tRNA from 1 species